rnacentral:rRNA from 1 species
GUGGGGAAUCUUGCGCAAUGGGCGAAAGCCUGACGCAGCCAUGCCGCGUGAAUGAUGAAGGUCUUAGGAUUGUAAAAUUCUUUCACCGGGGACGAUAAUGACGGUACCCGGAGAAGAAGCUCCGGCUAACUUCGUGCCAGCAGCCGCGGUAAUACGAAGGGGGCUAGCGUUGCUCGGAAUUACUGGGCGUAAAGGGCGCGUAGGCGGACAGCUUAGUCAGAGGUGAAAGCCCAGGGCUCAACCUUGGAAUUGCCUUCAAAACUCCUGGUCUGGAGUUCGAGAGAGGUGAGUGGAAUUCCGAGUGUAGAGGUGAAAUUCGUAGAUAUUCGGAGGAACACCAGUGGCGAAGGCGGCUCACUGGCCCAAUACUGACGCUGAGGCGCGAAAGCGUGGGGAGCAAACAGGAUUAGAUACCCCAGUAGUCC